UCGAUUAGUUUGAUCAUGGCUCAGGACGAACGCUGGCGGCGUGCUUAACACAUGCAAGUCGAGCGGUAAGGCCCUUUUGGGGGUACACGAGCGGCGAACGGGUGAGUAACACGUGGGUGACCUGCCUUCAGCUCUGGGAUAAGCUUGGGAAACUGGGUCUAAUACCGGAUAUGACUGUCUGCCGCAUGGUGGGUGGUGGAAAGUUCUUGGGCUUUGGUCUGGGUUCGGCUGGGGAUGGGCCUGCGGCCUAUCAGCUUGUUGGUGGGGUGAUGGCCUACCAAGGCGACGACGGGUAGCCGGCCUGAGAGGGCGACCGGCCACACUGGGACUGAGACACGGCCCAGACUCCUACGGGAGGCAGCAGUGGGGAAUAUUGCGCAAUGGGCGGAAGCCUGACGCAGCGACGCCGCGUGGGGGAUGACGGCCUUCGGGUUGUAAACCUCUUUCGCCAUCGACGAAGGUUCUGUGGUUGUGAGGCUGCAGGGUUGACGGUAGGCGGAGAAGAAGCACCGGCCAACUACGUGCCAGCAGCCGCGGUAAUACGUAGGGUGCGAGCGUUGUCCGGAAUUAUUGGGCGUAAAGAGCUCGUAGGCGGUGUGUCGCGUCGGCCGUGAAAACCUGCAGCUUAACUGUGGGCGUGCGGUCGAUACGGGCAUCACUGGAGUUCGGCAGGGGAGA
rnacentral:rRNA from 1 species